GUUAUGGCUUACCAAGGCGACGACGGGUAGCCGGCCUGAGAGGGUGUCCGGCCACACUGGGACUGAGAUACGGCCCAGACUCCUACGGGAGGCAGCAGUGGGGAAUAUUGCACAAUGGGCGCAAGCCUGAUGCAGCGACGCCGCGUGAGGGAUGAAGGCCUUCGGGUUGUAAACCUCUUUCAGCAGGGACGAAGCGCAAGUGACGGUAUGUACAGAAGAAGCAUCGGCUAACUACGUGCCAGCAGCCGCGGUAAUACGUAGGGUGCGAGCGUUGUCCGGAAUUACUGGGCGUAAAGAGUUCGUAGGCGGUCUGUCGCGUCGUUUGUGAAAACCCGGGGCUCAACUUCGGGCUUGCAGGCGAUACGGGCAGACUUGAGUGUUUCAGGGGAGACUGGAAUUCCUGGUGUAGCGGUGAAAUGCGCAGAUAUCAGGAGGAACACCGGUGGCGAAGGCGGGUCUCUGGGAAACAACUGACGCUGAGGAACGAAAGCGUGGGUAGCAAACAGGAUUAGAUACCCUGGUAGUCCACGCCGUAAACGGUGGGCGCUAGGU
rnacentral:rRNA from 1 species